CAGGAAGGUCACACCAUCCCCCACCAUCAUCAGAGUGGAAACCUGAGAAAUUCUAAAGUUGAGGUGAAAGAAGAAGAGAAGACUUAUGUGAAGGAUGAUCGACAGUCUAUGGCGGAGGAUGGAAUAACGGGGACAUUUAUAGAGGAGGACACUCCUACAGAGAUCAGCACAGUAGAUGGACGGGAGAUGAGGAAAA